AGUCAGCACAUGCAUAUCCCCACAGUCAGGUGACCAGCAGAUUGGUGCUACAAAACUGCUUUGCCUUCCAGAGUGCCAGGUGAUGGACUUCAGGAGGUUUGGAUGUAGUCAUAAGACAAAAUAGCCAACUGCUGUUGAGGUAGGUAUCCUGUGCCAGCAUGGGCAAACUCUCCACCUAAUCAAUUUCUGUAAACAGGUCGGAUAUUUCCUCAGGAAAUGUUUAUUAAGAUGCCAAAACAUGCAUUUUUGGUGUAUGGUGGUUACAGUGUCUGCUGAAGCUAUAAAGUUCUGCAGCAUCCUGAAGAAAUGGUAGAUCCUGAAGACAGCUUUUGCUCUUAGCCACAACCAGUUAGCACUAUCUAUUUCUCAGUUUUCCCAAGCCCUGUUUUAACAGUCUCUAACUAGGAGCUUAACCUCUGUUCCAAAAACUGACGUGGAUACAAUGCACCUAACAUUGCUCACAAUUCUUACAAAGAACAGAACAUGGUUCGCUUUUGGCUACACAGAGAAGUUUUAUUUCAGUGACUUUAGGUGCUGGGAUUUCUCCAGUUGUGACUCAAGCCACAACUUCCUAUUAAAAGAAGCUUUUAUGCUUCUUCAUCCAAGAGACAGAUCAUAUUCUGAGAAAAUUCAAACUAUUUUAUUCUAGCCUAUGUCUAAAUUAAACAAUAAAAAUUGUUAUCCUUUAUGACCACCAACCAGUUAACUGACCUGGUGAUAGGGAAUUAAGCCAGUCUCCUUCCUUUGAAAUGACAGCUGAAAUAACAGCAAUACAGUUCCUUGUCUCCUGUUCGAGUGCAGGAGAGGAGGAAGGAUGGGAACAGGAUACCAACAGACAAAAAUCCUGCCCCUGUAGCAACGCUGAAGUGCUUCCCAUUAACUUCUGAAGGGCAGGAUCUCCCCGUCACAUCACACUUUCUAGGAAGGCUUCAUAAAAUCAGGUAAGCAAAGCAUCAUGCUUCUGCUGCCAUUUAUAUUGUUCCACAAACUGUUCAUCUAAAAAAGCUCUUUGAAUAUAUUGUACUGCCUUCCACUUUCUUUUUCUGUCAUCCCUCAGCAUGAAUGAGAAUGAGUGCUCCCUAGCUCAUUGAAGGUGUGUGCCAGUGAACUUGUAAUAUAAACAUGAUCUGGUGGGAACGGAUUCAUAGAAUCAUAGAAUCAUCAUAGAAUGGCCUGGGUUGAAAAGGCCCACAAUGAUCAUCGAGUUUCAACCCCCCUGCUAUGUGCAGGGUCGCCAAUCAGUAGACCAGGCUGCCCAGAGCCACAUCCAGCCUGGCCUUGAAUGCCUCCAGGGAUGGGGCAUCCACAGCUUCCUUGGGCAACCUGUUCCAGUGUGUCACCACCCACUAUGUGAAUAACUUCUUCCUAAUAUCCAACCUAAACCUCCCCUACUACAGAUAACUUUGUUAUAGGAACUUAAUUUAAUUGACAUACAGUUGCUUUCAUUCCAGGAUAAUACCAUCCAAAGUUACACAACUCAAGACAAAAACCACACAUUUACAUGGAAAUAAGCGAGUCUGUAUGAGGCAUUAUAUUGGGAUAAUUAUUCUUGUUUAAAAUCAUGCCUCAUCUAUUAUGUUUUUUCUAGAGCAUCCGAUCUUUAGGUGUCUGUUGAUUAUGCAGCACUAUGUGAUAAGACCAUCAUGGAUAAGCAUCAUUGUGCAUUUAUGUAUUCUAUAAAAUCAUAGACAAAUAUCACCUCAAUACACAUGAUUUCAAUAAAGCGUCUGAAAGCUUGUAAGACAGCAACAAAUAGACAAAAAUAUGCAUCCAUUUUGGUACCAUUUGCCAGUCAGUGUAAAUUAUCUGCCAACAGAAAUCUGACUUGAAAAGAGGAAAGAUUGUUUUGCAUCCUUUCCCCCCAACUUCUAUAGCCGAAGUCCAUCACUGGACUCCCAUUGAAAAUGAAAAAGUUGCUUUCAGCUGACCCUCCUCACCCGGCAGAGUUCGCUUGGCACAAAGUUUCUAUUAAUUAAUGUAAGUAAUUAACUUCCAUGGAUGGCAAGAGAUGGAAACGAAAGCAAAAGAGCAAGACAGUCUCAUGCAGAUGAGGUUUCUACAGCCACUGAACACUCCCCACUUUCAGAGCACUGCUGUGCAAGUUCCCGUUCAGGGCCUGUAGUUCUUGAUGAUGGUGGCAUUGUUAAUCGCCCACAGGGACAGACUUCAGAAUGUCAAAAGAAUUAGGGCUGUAGUGUCAGAAAAUAGGAACGUAAGCCAUGCUGAGUGAAUGUACAGUUUUUUGAAUGUGUUUAGAUUUAAAAUCUUUUUAAGGGAUUGCAUUGCAGGCUUCAAGUGCCCUAGCAAAUCAUUAGUGAUAAUAGGAAACCCAAGCAGAAUUAUAGCAGCUAUUUCACCACAAACCUGGCCAUCCAGCCCUGUAAAGAGAGUCCUUUCCACCUGAGUCAUAAAAAAUAAAUACAUCACCUUCCCACCAAUCCAGUGGGAAAGAGCUUGAUCAGAGAAGAAAAAUAGAAGUGACCCAUAUUGGUGAUAUUUUUGGCUUGAUAUAGACUUAACAAAAAGAAUGGACAAAUUCAUAAAAGAAAGUUUCUUUAAGGGCUGUUUUACCUCUCAAGAAGUUGGUGAGCUGCAAAUUGUUGCAGGUUGAGAAAAGUCCCUGGGGGGACCAUCCUUACACGCUUGUUCUGUUGCUCUGUCUGGGCACCCACUGUUGGCUGCUGUCAGCAGCUUCUGGACUCAUGUUCCAGACAGCGACUUCAGAGGCAGAUCAUAAUUACGGAUCUAUUUUUAGAUGCUCUAAUUUUGGCAGGAAGCCAAAAGUUGUAAUAAAGCAGCUUUGGUAUUAUCUGUCAUCUCCAGACAUGGAAAAGAGCCAUAAAUUCAGCAUGGGGGUAGAUAAUGUAGAUAUAUUAGAAUGCAUUAUUAUCUACAGGGUUGCCUAUUGCCUGUUUCAUUUUUAUUGCAUGGCAAAGGUCAGCACCUUUCGGUAGCUCAGAGAUCCCAAAGGAUGACAAAUUACCAAGAAUUCCUCUAUUCAGCAUAUAUAUGAAGCCAUCAUAAAAGGAUAUCAGCAUGGUGCUAGCAGUCUCUGAUCUACAUUAUAUGCUUCUUUUGGCAACGAAGAUUUGUCUGCCAUUGACGGUGGGCAGAUAGUGAGGGACGAAAUUUAAUACAGACGAAAUGAAAGUACGGUGGCACCUUACUUGUUCUUCAGCUGAAAUGUAGCUCACGUUAACAAGAUUCACAAGUCUCUGAUUCUGACUGGAAACUGAGCUGCGUUUGGUUUUGGGAAAUUGCAGGAACAUUUUUAUUUCAGAAUGUCUUCCUGUUAUUCCUACAAAAAAAAACAGGUCCACUUGGACUUUUUUUCUUUUUCCAAUUAAAACCAGGAAGAAAAUGGAAUGAAUGUGCAAUAAAUAUGGAAAAAAAUGGAACAUUUGGAGUAAGGAUAAAUGGGCUGUGCUUCCGUAGCUCACUCUUCCAGGCACAGUGCUCUCAUGGCUGCCAUAUGCGACAGGCUUGGUUGGAUCCUUCAGGACAACUCAAUCUCAGCUAGAAGAGAUUACACCAAGAAACUUAGUUGGUGAUGCUUAGUAAAAUUGCUGCCCAGAAGUACCGCUAAGUGUCAAAUGUAAAUGCAGAGCGCAGAGGAGAUGUUGGCCCUACUGGUGGGGUCCUUCACAGCACUGCCAAGUGCCAACAUCUAAGAACUGAGCUGGACUGGACACCGGGGCAAUGCCAAAGAGUGUUCACAGGUAUUAGAAUUCCUAUUAACCCUUCCAUCAGGAGCCAAUUAAAAAAGGAUGGUCAAGCAAUUUUUAAUUACUUUGUGAUGGUUUAAUAAGCCUCCAGGAAGCACAGUGCUUGAAAUCUCUCUUCUGCCCAUACCGCAGCCCUCUGCUGCAUGAACUCACGGGUUGGUUACUGUGCAGAUUCUCACAGACUCCCAGGUGGUGAUAAAAGGAUAUGAAAAUAACAUCAAGUGAGGAAGAAAAGACGCUGACCCCGAAGACUCCGUUAUGAUGAAUGGUGGUAAUAUGCAACAAUUCGGGGCACUUCUGUGCUUUUGCCUUGCCUAAAAUUCUGAGUAUACGGCAAGGACUGCCUGGAGAAUUUCAGCUGUCAGAGGGCACUCCACCUUGAAGGCUGCUGUGCCCUUAAAGUUAUAUCCCUGCACUGGAGGGUGGCUGUGUGGCCAUUUUGAGCGUGGAUUGAAGUAGUUAAGAGACACAGUUUGUACCUUUUUACUAUGAAAUUGGGUUUGUUGGCUCGUUUUUCUAGUUACUGGUAUUGAUGGUUACAGAACACCCGUGUGAUUGCCAAGCACUGUUUCUAGCCACGAAGAGCAAGCAGUCCACUGAUUUAAUAAUAAUAAUAAUAAUAAUAAACCAACCAAACAAAAUUAAUCCAAAAGAGGGUCUAUUUUUACUACGGCAUCCACAUCCAGACACCAGCAUUCAUUGUCACUGAUAACAGAGAAGAAAAAAGUCUAGUAGACUUAGGAAAUGGUUUUAAAUUUUUAUGAGCUCUCUGUAAUGCCAUCCGCAGCUACUCGAGCUAAGAUGAAAUCUCAAGGUUUACCAACUGAUGUGCUUUGAGAAAUAAAUCAGAAACUAAUUGUCUGAUAUUAGGGAAGAACUUGUUUUUACCUCCUCC
ensembl:lncRNA